rnacentral:tRNA from 1 species
AGAAGGAUAGUUAAAUAUAACAUUUUCAUUGCAGGAAAAAAGUAUUGUAAAAAUUCAAUUCCUUUUA